GACGAACGCUGGCGGCGUGCUUAACACAUGCAAGUCGAACGAAGUGGCGAACGUGAGAGUAACGCGUAAUCAACCUGCCCUUCUGAGGGGGACAACAGUUGGAAACGACUGCUAAUACCGCAUACUGAAGGUGGGGAUUGUGGUUGAUUUGCUCGUUGGCGGGGUAACGGCCCUCCAAGGCGAAGAUCAGUAGGCGGGCUGGGAGGGUGAACGGCCCCAUCGGGACUGGGACACGGCCCAGACUCCUACGGGAGGCAGCAGUGGGGAAUCUUCCGCAAUGGGCGAAAGUCUGACGGAGCAACGCCGCGUGAGUGAUGACGGCCUUCGGGUUGUAAAGCUCUGUUAAUCGGGACGCGGUACCGGAAUAGAAAGCCACGGCUAACUACGUGCCAGCAGCCGCGGUAAUAC
rnacentral:rRNA from 1 species